ensembl:lincRNA
AUGGAGGAGGAAAAUUUAAAAGUGAAUUCGUGGGCGGCGACAAGGAAACAGCAGCCGUGGCCAAGCAGACCCCAGAGCCCUUCCCUUCUUGGCCCUCCCUCUGAAUCAUCGCGCUCCACUUGUGACGUCGCGGACGCCCGGCUCCGGCAGGCGUGGGGGGCCCGCGCGUCCCGGGAGCCCCGAGGCGGCAGCGCGCGAUUCCAUGCCGCGGUGCCGCGGGAAAGCCGGGGGCGGAGGCCUGGCUCAGGCAGAGCUCGGAUCCGGUGCCGAGCCGAGCGGGACCGCGCGUCGUCCGCGCUUCGCCUUCGCUCGCUUGACCUCCGCCGUCCUCUCCAGCCCUCGUCCUCUGGCCGCGCGUGCGGCCGCACGCCCAGCGCCUCUAGCUUAACCCCGCGCCCGGGCCGCGCCUCCUCCUCCCACUCCUCCUGCUCUCCUCCCCCGCCGCUUCCGUUUCUCGAGGGAAAGGCUGCUGCCUCCUGCUCUGUCCGCAUCCCCUGCUUAGAUUCAAGUCAACUAAAGUAAAUCUUCCUACAAAGCAUUCAUUCCUGAAAUAAAAGGCAUUUAAGUGGGUAGGUGCUUUUGUUUGAGUUUUCACUAGAUCCUUUCUAUCACCUGAAAGCUUUUUGCAUUAUUACCACAGUCUCGUUUUAUUUAGACAUUUGCCUCAAGGAGCUGAGACAUUCUUAUACCUUCAUACUUAAUUGCCCCAAAACACUUAAAAAAUGUAAUUUAUUGUUAUAAAAGCACUGUGUAUUUACUGUAGAGUAUUUGAAAAUUAUAGAAAAGCAUAAUUUAAAAAUCAUCCAUAAUUCCAUUACUCAGUCAUAACUACCAUUAAAACAUCACCUACUAAUCUUUCUAUCAAGCUCUUUCUCUCUGUGUAUGUGUAUAAAUACAAAUGGAUAACAUACUCUCAAAUUAUAUAUGGUCAUAGGUAGUUUUUCCACUUAACAUUAGUGCAUUGGCAUAUUUCCACAUUAUUAAAUAUUCUUCAAAAACAUGAUUUUACCGACUGUAUAUUAUUUUGUUUUACCAAUAUUUAAGAUUAUUUUCAACUUGUUAUAAUAUUAAUCCUCCUUGUGCAGAAAUAUUUUAACUCAACCCGGAUUGCCUUAACACAAAUUGAGGAAAAACUGGAGUUACUGACUAAAGGCAGUGACAUCUAUAGGGAUCUUGACACAUUUUUGUCAGAUUGCCCUCUGGAAACCUAACUUGUUUGCAUGUCUAUUAGCAGAGCAUCAGCACCUGUUUCACCACAUCACCAAGAGGGAAUGUAAACUUUAAAACAUAUGCAAUAGUGAAAGAGGAUAUCUCAUUGCUUUUGUGCCCUUUUCUUUUUAUUACUACUGAGACUGGACAUAUUUUCUCAUAGUGGUUGACCUAUAAUCUUAAGGAGAGAACAUAUUUUUUAGCAAAAUUGUUUAAGACUAUUACAAAUUACAUCUUACUCUCCCACUGCAUCCACAUCUUCAGAGUUGUACUAAUUCUCAGCCUCCCAGAGUCCAUUAAGGGAAUUUUUUUCUUUUGAGACAGAGUCUUGCUCAGUCCCCCAGGCUGGAGUGCAGUGGUGCAACCUCGGCUCAAUGCAACCUCCGCCUCCCAGGUUCAAGCGAUUCUCUUCCUCAGCCUCCCGAGUAGCUGAGACUACAGGUGUGGGCCACCACGUCCGGCUAAUUUUUGUAUUUUUUUUAGUAGAGAUUCACCAUGUUGGCCAGGCUGGUUUUGAAUUCCUGACCUCAGGUGAUCCACCCGCCUCAGCCUCCCAAAGUGCUGGGAUUAUAGGCAUGAGCCACUGUGCCCAGUCCCGGCUAUUUUUUUUUUUUUUUUUUUUUUUUUUUUUUUUUAAAUUCUGGGG